ACAACCGCGCCCUAAUAACCUCGGCUGCUAGCGUCGGCGACCGUACUUCCAGGCCAGAAGGCGGCAAAAGCUGCCCCCAGACUGGCUACCAGUCUAGCUGCAAAGUCAAGAGGCGAAGCCAAGGAUGCGGCCUCAUGAGGACACCUGGAAGUGCGGGAACCUGGUCAGGGAUGAAUCCAUUAGCAUGAUCUGAAUAGUGAAGAUAGCAGGAAAGGGGGGGGGGGCUCAAAAUAUCAGGCGCCGAGAGGCAACAGGGGUUGGGGAGGAGAGUAAGGUCUUGCAUUCGCCCACCGAGGAGGGGGCGGAAAGGUCACAAGGAGAGGCAGGCGGCAGCGCAAUAGAGGCAGUGUGGAGGGCGCUUGUCUGGGAACCAUUAAGGAAGCCGAGGGCAACUGGCCGCGGACGUGAAGGGAGAGAGGGGGCGGUACUUCACCAGGCAGGAAUAAAAGAAAAUCUGUUCGUGCAUUUAAAAACAGAUCAAGCGCGUGCGGUUAUCCAUGCAGUCGUAAGGAGGAAGGAGUCAACAGGGUCUAAAAUAGGAGACUAUAGCAGAGGAGAAGCUUUACAGGUAAUCUUCUUGUUGGUUCACACGCACACUACUACUGUAUUCCCCUGGCAGGAGUUGUGGGAUCACACAAGUAGUUUCAGAUGCCUUAUGCCUGUCAGCUACACUGACUUCUUUUACCAGACAAAUGUAUAAGCUUAGGAGACCCCAGAACUUGCAGUGGCCUAAAGUCCAUGUGUGCUCAUCUUUCGCUGUUUAUGGAAGGAAACUUUGGGCAUGAGGGAAGUGGCUGAAUUGCAGAAGGUAAAUUCUGACUUGCCCAAUGUUUCGCCCAUGGGUUAAUUAAUUCUAUGCUGAAUAUCUACAAGGUAAAGCAAUUGGAUUACAUCCAUAUUACCAGUUUUAGGUGUUCCUGUUAGAGACCGCCAUCCAUCCAUCUAUCCUGCUUCCCUGCACACAUUUCCUUAAUAUGACACAAUAGGAAUCAUAGGACAGCUGCCCCCUUCCCCCGAAAAAAAAACUGUUGGCCUAAAGCUGGUGCUGCACAAGAUAAACUGAAUUCUUUUACGGUAUCCAGCAGCAAUUCAAGUCCUCCAUCAGCAACAUUGAGGGGAUCAUUUCAUUGUGAGCAUCUUGGGGAUAGAUUUAUUAAGAAAAACCCUUAGCCACUUUGAGCCAUUUCAUUUUGCUGCUUUUAAAAAAUGUUUGUGUCCUUGAGUCUCAGGUGAUAUAGCAGGUGGUUAGGGUCUCCAGAAAGCAGUCCAAGAACGCCCUUGUUUUGUUAGUGGUUUGACUACAUUUGCAUGAAAGGUAUCCUUUCCUUUGCCAUAAACUUUCAGGGCUGGACUAUGAUGUCUCAAGCAGAGCAGCAAAUGGUGUGCCUCAGUCCCUUCAUCGAGGCCAAUCAAGUUAUAUUGGCUUCUGAAGCAGUAGCUUUCACAAGCAUGUCUCUUCUUUUCCUGUCAGUAAAACUAUAAUCUAGAUCUAGGUGGAAUCUACUUGAUUCACCUAGAUCUACUUGAAUCACUCGCUCUAGCCAUGAGGGGUGGCUGAGGGGCCUAACGCCGAGGGAGGCCCGGAAAGAAAAAACAAGAAACUGGGCCUUCUCGCCAGUGGCCCAUCACCUUUGGAAUAGUCUCCCCACUGAGAUUCACUUGGCCCCUUCGCUGGGUAUUUUCAAGAGCCAACUCAAGACCUGGCUAUUUAGGCAGGCCUUCCCUCCGGUCACUAUCUGAUUUCUUACCUUUUCCAUCUUGAAUGAUAUUCUUUGUUGUUAAAUUGUUGUUUGAUAAUAUUUAAUUGUUUUAGUCUAUUUUAUUGUGAGCCGCCCAGAGUAGAUGUUGUCUAAAUGAGCAUGAUACUAAAUAAAUAAAUAAAUAAAUAAAUAAAUAAAAUAAAU
ensembl:lncRNA